UGUACAGAUACAUUCCUGAGGACUCACAGUGGCUGAGUGUUGGAGCUCAGUGGAGAAGGCACUGUGCAUGCUCAAGCAUCCAGGCUUUUACCAUUAUCUCUCUGAAGCUGCUUUCCCUUGUAUCCCUGAAAUGCAGCCGGACAGCUGCUUCUUAUAAAUUGCAGUUGAGAAGAAAACAGCAAGGAGCAAGAGAGACAGAUUUCAGGUCAACUUCUAUGAUUUCAGGGCUCCAUCACAUGAAUAAGACCAGCCUCACUUUAAAAAAGGUUCCCUGGAUGACCAAAAUAUCAAAUUCCUUUAAAAUCGUCCCAAGCCCUUUAACACCACAGAGCCAUUAUUAACUUAUUGCCAGAGACGAUGAAAUAGAAUAUUAUUCCUUGGUUACACAUUGUAUUUGUUGUUUUGUCUUCUGUUUUUAAAGGAAGUAAAGCAACUGCUACAAACCUGCCCACUUUGGAACUA